ensembl:lincRNA Gm42504 predicted gene 42504
GCGGGCUUUUUCAAACAGAAGAGUGAGCAGUUGCUAGGCAGGCACAGCUCACUGCUGUCUGCUGCAAGAGAGACAACUCACAGGUGAACAGAUAAGAGAGACAUGCCACCCGGAAGUCAUCCGGUGACAUUCUGGACCAAUGCUGGAUCCAGGCAGGAUGGGGACCAUAUAGAAUUUUGUCAUUGUUUCUAUAAACACCUUUCAAUAAUUCAUUAGCGUAUUUAUUUGUGUGUGUGCACGCACGGGUGUGUAUGUGUGCAUGUGUGCACUGGUGUGCUGUGGUGUUCGUGUAAAGGUCAUCUACACAGAGUCUGAGAGUGUCCUGGUCUACAUAAGACUCAAUCUAAAAGAGAGAAAAAGAAAAGAAAAGAGAAGAAACUAGGGGUUCCAAGCCCUGUCCAUCAACAGCAAUGGCUAUAUAAUUUUUGUGGGAGGAAAAAAGCUGAGGGUACUGAGAGAUGGCUCAGUGGUUAGGAGCACUUAGCUUACACCCACCUGCCACGCCCAUUCCAGGGUAUGUGAUUC